UCUGACACCUCUCCCUGGCGGCAGUAGCUGUCACCCGCAAACCUCCACCGCCACUGGCAGACCCGGUGCUGGGCUGGGUUGGCAGGGAGAGCCUCGGAUUUAUCUAUUUAUUUUUCCAGAUAAAUUAAAAACUCAGGGGGCACUUAAAAUAAAUUAGCAACUGCUCCUGACGGUGUCUUUCUUGCGGUGUCACACAUUUGAAAUUUUGGCAAGGACUAAGUUGCCUCACCAUCUUUUCCCACCAAGCGCAAACUGCUAACGGAACAGUGCGCUCGUGUGAACAGGCACGUCGCUGGAGCAGUUAUUAAUUCAGGAAAGGCACGUAGGUCACGGCAGUGGCCGAGGAUCACGUAAUCCCGGUCUUGAUGGGGUGGCAUCACCAUCUGCAGUGUAUGAGGAUGACAGUGAUCGCCAUGCAGCAUUGAUGGAAGCUAAAAUCAGCACCUAAGAACCAAAACGGCAGAGAGAAAGAGCCCGUUCCGAAACCGUUACGUAGAACUGACGAGGGGAAUGUCCAACUUACCAGACCGUGGCCCAAAUGCUCACUUCCUCAACAGGGAGCUUUCUUCCAUGACCGAACCAGCACCCCCGCCCGUCUACUCCUUCACAUGGGCACGAUGGACCCAAGAGAAGGGCAAUUUUCUGUUGCUAUUAUUUCAAUUAAAUAGCUGCUUUGAGCCUUUAUUUCUUAUAUUAAUAUCUCUUAAGCAAAAGUAAAUGUUUCUUUUCUGGUUCUAUGAGAAAAAAUAGUUACUAAGUCUGUAUAAUAUUAAAUGAGAAGAAGUUUUCACUCUCCUUUCA